rnacentral:rRNA from 1 species
GGUUUGAUUCUGGCUCAGAUUGAACGCUGGCGGGAUGCUUUACACAUGCAAGUCGAACGGCAGCACGGACUUCGGUCUGGUGGCGAAAGUGGCGAACGGGUGAGUAAUGUAUCGGAACGUGCCUAGUAGCGGGGGAUAACUACGCGAAAGCGUAGCUAAUACCGCAUACGCCCUUCGGGGAAAGCGGGGGACCUUCGGGCCUCGCACUAUUAGAGCGGCCGAUAUCGGAUUGAAAGCUGGUUGGUACCCAGGGUAACGGCUCACCAAGGCGACGAUCCGUAGCUGGUUUGAGGACGACCAGCCACACUGGGACUGAGAGACACGGCCAGACUCCUACGGGGAGAGGCAGCAGUGGGAAUUUUGGACAAUGGGGAAACCUGAUCCAGCCAUCCCGCGUGUGCGAUGAAGGCCCCUUCGGGUUGUAAGCUUACUUUGGCAGAAAGAAACGGCUGGGAUAAUACCCCGUGCAACUGACGAAGCACCUGCAGAAUAAGCACCGGCUAACUACGUGCCAGCAGCCGCGGUAAUACGUAGGGUGCAGCGUUAAUCGGAAUUACUGGGCGUAAAGCGUACGCAGGCGGUUCCGGAAAGAAGGUGAAGAAAUCCCAGAGCUUAACUUUUGGAACUGCAUUUUUAACUACCGAGCUAGAGUGUGUCAGAGGGAGGUGGAAUUCCGCGUGUAGCAGUGAAAUGCGUAGAUAUGCGGAGGAACACCGAUGGCGAAGGCAACCUCCUGGGAUAACACUGACGCUCAUGCACGAAAAGCGUGGGAGCAAACAGGAUUAGAUACCCUGGUAGUCCACGCCCUAAACGAUGUCAACUAGCUGUUGGGGCCUUCGGGCCUUGGUAGCGCAGCUAACGCGUGAAGUUGACCGCCUGGGAAGCCCGGUCGCAAGAUUAAAACUCAAAGAUUGACGGGGACCCGCACAAGCGGUGGAUGAUGUGGAUUAAUUCGAUGCAACGCGAAAAACCUUACCUACCCUUGACAUGUCUGGAAUCCCGAAGAGAUUUGGGAGUGCUCGCAAGAGAACCGGAACACAGGUGCUGCAUGGCUGUCGUCAGCUCGUGUCGUGAGAUGUUGGGUUAAGUCCGCAACGAGCGCAACACUUAAUCAUUAGUUGCUACGAAAGGGGCACUCUAAUGAGACUGCCGGUAUUAAACCGGAGGAAGGUGGGGAUGACGUCAAGUCCUCAUGGCCUGCCAUGGGUAGGGCUUCACACGUCAUACAAUGGUCGGGACAACAAGAGGUCAUACCAACCCGCGAGAGGCCAAUCGAAACGAUCACGUAGUCGGAUCGCAGUCUGCAACUCGACUGCGUGAGAGUCAAGAUCGCUAGUAGUCGCGGAUCAGCAUGUCGCGGUGAAUACGUUCCCGGGUCUUGUACACACCGCCCGUCACACCAUGGGAGUAGGUUUGCCAGAAGUAGUUAGCUAACCGUAAGGAGGGCGAUUACCACGGUAGGAUUCAUGACUGGGGUGAAGUCGUAACAAGGUAGCUCUGUUA